rnacentral:rRNA from 1 species
UUAGUUGGUGGAGCGAUUUGUCUGGUUUAUUCCGAUAACGAACGAGACUCCAGCCUACUAAAUAGUGGCGAGAUACGUCCCUGUCUCGCAAACUUCUUAGAGGGAUAAUCGGUGUUCAGCCGAAUGAAAAGGAGCAAUAACAGGU